UACGGAGGGUGCAAGCGUUAUCCGGAUUUACUGGGUUUAAAGGGUGCGUAGGUGGGCAGUUAAGUCAGUGGUGAAAUCUCCGAGCUUAACUCGGAAACUGCCAUUGAUACUAUCUGUCUUGAAUAUCCUGGAGGUGAGCGGAAUAUGUCAUGUAGCGGUGAAAUGCUUAGAUAUGACAUAGAACACCAAUUGCGAAGGCAGCUGGCUACACAUAUAUUGACACUGAUGCACGAAAGCGUGGGGAUCAAACAGG
rnacentral:rRNA from 1 species